UUUAUGGAGAGUUUGAUCCUGGCUCAGGAUGAACGCUGGCGGCGUGCCUAAUACAUGCAAGUCGAGCGAACGGACGAGAAGCUUGCUUCUCUGAUGUUAGCGGCGGACGGGUGAGUAACACGUGGAUAACCUACCUAUAAGACUGGGAUAACUUCGGGAAACCGGAGCUAAUACCGGAUAAUAUUUGAACCGCAUGGUUCAAAAGUGAAAGACGGUCUUGCUGUCACUUAUAGAUGGAUCCGCGCUGCAUUAGCUAGUUGGUAAGGUAACGGCUUACCAAGGCAACGAUGCAUAGCCGACCUGAGAGGGUGAUCGGCCACACUGGAACUGAGACACGGUCCAGACUCCUACGGGAGGCAGCAGUAGGGAAUCUUCCGCAAUGGGCGAAAGCCUGACGGAGCAACGCCGCGUGAGUGAUGAAGGUCUUCGGAUCGUAAAACUCUGUUAUUAGGGAAGAACAUAUGUGUAAGUAACUGUGCACAUCUUGACGGUACCUAAUCAGAAAGCCACGGCUAACUACGUGCCAGCAGCCGCGGUAAUACGUAGGUGGCAAGCGUUAUCCGGAAUUAUUGGGCGUAAAGCGCGCGUAGGCGGUUUUUUAAGUCUGAUGUGAAAGCCCACGGCUCAACCGUGGAGGGUCAUUGGAAACUGGAAAACUUGAGUGCAGAAGAGGAAAGUGGAAUUCCAUGUGUAGCGGUGAAAUGCGCAGAGAUAUGGAGGAACACCAGUGGCGAAGGCGACUUUCUGGUCUGUAACUGACGCUGAUGUGCGAAAGCGUGGGGAUCAAACAGGAUUAGAUACCCUGGUAGUCCACGCCGUAAACGAUGAGUGCUAAGUGUUAGGGGGUUUCCGCCCCUUAGUGCUGCAGCUAACGCAUUAAGCACUCCGCCUGGGGAGUACGACCGCAAGGUUGAAACUCAAAGGAAUUGACGGGGACCCGCACAAGCGGUGGAGCAUGUGGUUUAAUUCGAAGCAACGCGAAGAACCUUACCAAAUCUUGACAUCCUUUGACAACUCUAGAGAUAGAGCCUUCCCCUUCGGGGGACAAAGUGACAGGUGGUGCAUGGUUGUCGUCAGCUCGUGUCGUGAGAUGUUGGGUUAAGUCCCGCAACGAGCGCAACCCUUAAGCUUAGUUGCCAUCAUUAAGUUGGGCACUCUAAGUUGACUGCCGGUGACAAACCGGAGGAAGGUGGGGAUGACGUCAAAUCAUCAUGCCCCUUAUGAUUUGGGCUACACACGUGCUACAAUGGACAAUACAAAGGGCAGCGAAACCGCGAGGUCAAGCAAAUCCCAUAAAGUUGUUCUCAGUUCGGAUUGUAGUCUGCAACUCGACUACAUGAAGCUGGAAUCGCUAGUAAUCGUAGAUCAGCAUGCUACGGUGAAUACGUUCCCGGGUCUUGUACACACCGCCCGUCACACCACGAGAGUUUGUAACACCCGAAGCCGGUGGAGUAACCUUUUAGGAGCUAGCCGUCGAAGGUGGGACAAAUGAUUGGGGUGAAGUCGUAACAAGGUAGCCGUAUCGGAAGGUGCGGCUGGAUCACCUCCUUUCU
rnacentral:rRNA from 14 species